rnacentral:rRNA from 1 species
AGAUUGAACGCUGGCGGAAUGCUUUACACAUGCAAGUCGAACGGCAGCACGGGGGCAACCCUGGUGGCGAGUGGCGCACGGGUGAGUAAUACAUCGGAACGUAUCCUAGAGUGGGGGAUAGCCCGGCGAAAGCCGGAUUAAUACCGCAUACGCUCGAAAGAGGAAAGUGGGGGAUCGUAAGACCUCACGCCCAAGGAGCGGCCGAUGCCGGAUUAGCUUGUUGGUGAGGUAAAAGCUCACCAAGGCGACGAUCCGUAGCUGGUCUGAGAGGACGACCAGCCACACUGGGACUGAGACACGGCCCAGACUCCUACGGGAGGCAGCAGUGGGGAAUUUGGACAAUGGGGGAAACCCUGAUCCAGCCAUUCCGCGUGAGUGAAGAGGCC